AAGGAGGCAGCAGUAAGGAAUCUUCCGCAAUGGGCGAAAGCCUGACGGAGCGACGCCGCGUGCGGGAUGAAGGCCUUCGGGUUGUAAACCGCUGUCAGUGGGGAGGAAAUGCAUGGGGGUUCUCCCCUGUGUUUGACCGAUCCGCAGAGGAAGCACAGGCUAAGUUCGUGCCAGCAGCCGCGGUAACACGAACUGUGCAAACGUUAUUCGGAAUCACUGGGCUUAAAGAGUUCGUAGGCGGCGCGUUAAGUCGGGUGUGAAAGCCCUCGGCCCAACCGAGGAAUUGCGCCCGAAACUGGCGUGCUUGAGUAAGAUAGAGGUGAGCGGAACUGAUGGUGGAGCGGUGAAAUGCGUUGAUAUCAUCAGGAACACCGGUGGCGAAGGCGGCUCACUGGGUCUUAACUGACGCUGAGGAACGAAAGCUAGGGGAGCGAACGGGAUUAGAUACCCUGGUA
rnacentral:rRNA from 1 species